UACGAAGGGGACUAGCGUUGCUCGGAAUCACUGGGCGUAAAGGGUGCGUAGGCGGCGCGGUAAGUCGGGUGUGAAAUCUCGGAGCUUAACUCCGAAACUGCAUUCGAUACUGCCGUGCUUGAGGACUGGAGAGGAGACUGGAAUUUACGGUGUAGCGGUGAAAUGCGUAGAUAUCGUAAGGAAGACCAGUGGCGAAGGCGGGUCUCUGGACAGUUCCUGACGCUGAGGCACGAAGGUCAGGGGAGCAAACGGG
rnacentral:rRNA from 1 species